UACGUAGGCAGCAAGCGUUGUUCGGAGUUACUGGGCGUAAAGGGUGUGUAGGCGGUCUUCUAAGUUUGGUGUGAAAUCUCCCGGCUCAACUGGGAGGGUGCGCCGAAAACUGGGAGGCUAGAGUGCGGGAUGGGAGAGUGGAAUUCCUGGUGUAGCGGUGAAAUGCGUAGAUAUCAGGAGGAACACCGGUGGUGUAGACGGCUCUCUGGACCGUAACUGACGCUGAGACACGAAAGCGUGGGUAGCAAACAGG
rnacentral:rRNA from 1 species